rnacentral:rRNA from 1 species
GGACUACCCGGGUAUCUAAUCCCGUUUGCUCCCCACGCUUUCGCGCCUCAGCGUCAGGAAAUGCCCAGAGACCCGCCUUCGCCACCGGUGUUCCUCCCGAUCUCUACACAUUUCACCGCUACACCGGGAAUUCCAGUCUCCUCUGCAUCCCUCAAGAACGGCAGUAUCAGCCGACGUUUCUCGGUUGAGCCGAGAGAUUUCACGACUGACUUGCCAUCCCGCCUACGCGCCCUUUACGCCCAGUGAUUCCGAGCAACGCUUGCCCCCUCUGUCUUACCGCGGCUGCUGGCAC